CCUACGGGAGGCUGCAGUGGGGAAUAUUGGGCAAUGGGCGCAAGCCUGACCCAGCAACGCCGCGUGAAGGAAGAAGGCUUUCGGGUUGUAAACUUCUUUUCUCAGGGACGAAGCAAGUGACGGUACCUGCGGAAUAAGCCACGGCUAACUACGUGCCAGCAGCCGCGGUAAUACGUAGGUGGCAAGCGUUAUCCGGAUUUACUGGGUGUAAAGGGCGUGUAGGCGGGAAAGCAAGUCAGAUGUGAAAACCAUGGGCUCAACCUGUGGCCUGCAUUUGAAACUGUUUUUCUUGAGUACGGGUGAGGCAGACGGAAUGCCUAGUGUAGCGGUGAAAUGCGUAGAUAUUAGGGGGAACACCAGUGGCGAAGGCGGUCUGCUGGACAGCAACUGACGCUGAGGCGCGAAAGCGUGGGGAGCAAACAGGAUUAGAUACCCGGGUAGUC
rnacentral:rRNA from 1 species